rnacentral:misc_RNA from 1 species
AAAGUCGUAACAAGGUAUCCGUAGGUGAACCUGCGGAUGGAUCAUUAGUGAAUGUGCGGCGCGGGCGUCACACCCCGCGCGUGCCAAUCCACCCCUGUGCAACGUACCGUACCCUGGUGGGGGGCGUGCCUCCCACCGAAGGGCGCUUCGCGGCGCCCGACCAACGCUCUAAUCUCUGUCUGAAUCUAACGAACCAAAUGAUCUAAACAACUUUUGACAACGGAUCUCUUGGCUCUC